UACGAAGGGGGCUAGCGUUGCUCGGAAGCACUGGGCGUAAAGGGUGCGUAGGCGGGUCUUUAAGUCAGGGGUGAAAUCCUGGAGCUCAACUCCAGAACUGCCUUUGAUACUGAAGAUCUUGAGUUCGGGAGAGGUGAGUGGAACUGCGAGUGUAGAGGUGAAAUUCGUAGAUAUUCGCAAGAACACCAGUGGCGAAGGCGGCUCACUGGCCCGAUACUGACGCUGAGGUGCGAAAGCGUGGGGAGCAAACAGG
rnacentral:rRNA from 1 species